GCGUUUGCGCAUGACCGAGUGAGCAGCUUUCGUCAUGGCAGCCGUGAAAACACCCGAAAUUUUCACCAAACGACAAUACUUUGAAGCGGAUUUUCGUCGGCAAAAAAAAGAGCGCCGGCCGAAUCGACCACGGAAUUUGAUAACGCACAUCUUGCUUCAUGAUUUUCUUGGAUGGCAUCGCGUGGCACUGUCAAAUACUUGAAGAAUGCAAAGCCGACCCAGUGAGAUUCGAGACUAUGUAUAAUGCUGCUGUGUCCUCAUAAAUCCUGCUGGCCCUGCUGCUGCCCUGGAACUCCUGGAAGUCGAUGGUGCUGUUGCUGCCCUGGAAGUCUCUGCUGCUGCCCUGAGGGUUACUCACUCCCUGCAAUAAUUUGCAGCAAAGCAAGUGGACAAAAUGUGGCAGCAGUGGUCUCAACUUCUUGACAAAAAUCUCUACCCAGAGGGCCGGCUGAUUUUUUGAUUUUGGUUUUGCGAUUGUUUUGCUUUUAUGCGAUGUCUCUUUGACAAAAUGAAACUUAGUGAAUUAUUUGUUUUCUCAGAUUAUGCUUUAUCCAAUUUUCCAAUAAUUCUAAAUGUCUGUCUCUUCAUAUCGUACAAUCGUAAACUUUUGUUGUCGCUGAAUUUUCAUUGACCUGAGAGAUCAACAUGUGCUAUAAAUAUUUGAUUGAAAAAUUUGCCUCUAGAACACAGUGUUAAAUAAUGUAACUCUUUGUAUUUAUACUAGAAUCAGAUCAACUCCAAUAAUAAUGUGGAUUGAUUUGUAUGUCAAUUAAUAAAACAGAAUAUGACAUUUUCUCCAUUUAUAGACAUGUAUAACUAUAAUAGAAAUAAACAUAUUAUAUUUAUUGCAUCAAAUCAAAGAUUUUAUUUUCUUUUAUAAAAAUAAAGAAACAAGAAUUCUACAACAAAGAGUUUUAUUAUGUAGCCCUUCAUUUUAGAGGCAAAUUUUUCAAUCACAAAUAUAGCACAUGUUGAUCUCUCAGGUCAAUGAAAAUUCAGCGACAACAAAAGUUUACGAUUGUACGAUAUGAAGAGACAGACAUUUAGAAUUAUUGGAAAAUUGGAUAAAGCAUAAUCUGAGAAAACAAAUAAUUCACUAAGUUUCAUUUUGUCAAAGAGACAUCGCAUAAAAGCAAAACAAUCGCAAAACCAAAAUCAAAAAAUCAGCCGGCCCUCUGGGUAGAGAUUUUUGUCAAGAAGUUGAGACCACUGCUGCCACAUUUUGUCCACCUAUAUAAUGCAAAAAAAAGUGAGAACUAAUAGAAAAAUAAAAUAAUUUUCUAAACAAAUUAUAAUAAAAUAUUACAAAACACAUCUCCCUCGUGUUAUU